AAGGGAGACCUAAUUCGGGUAGAAGACGAAAAAAUAGUAGUCGAAACCAAGAAUCAAUCCCAAAAGGUCGGAACGAGGUAUGUGGCUUUCAAACUAGGUUCUGGGUUCAUAAAAGACCUGAAUCAGGAACAAGGGCUAUUAGCUCAGGUGGUUAGAGCGCACCCCUGAUAAGGGUGAGGUCCCUGGUUCGAGUCCAGGAUGGCCCACCUGCACAGGUGGCAAAAACAAAGAAGGGAAGCGAGGAAUCAGCACCUGCUCUUAUCUAUAUAUAAGAGAGAAUGCUGGCUCUGAGUACAGAGUCCAGAGGAACCUUGAAAACUGCAUAGAGCUAGGUGAAAAAGCCAAAAAAGAAGACCGCAA
rnacentral:tRNA from 1 species